rnacentral:rRNA from 1 species
GGUGAACGCUGGCGGUAGGCCUAACACAUGCAAGUCGAACGGCAGCACAGUAAGAGCUUGCUCUUACGGGUGGCGAGUGGCGGACGGGUGAGGAAUACAUCGGAAUCUACUUUUUCGUGGGGGAUAACGUAGGGAAACUUACGCUAAUACCGCAUACGACCUACGGGUGAAAGCAGGGGAUCUUCGGACCUUGCGCGAUUGAAUGAGCCGAUGUCGGAUUAGCUAGUUGGCGGGGUAAAGGCCCACCAAGGCGACGAUCCGUAGCUGGUCUGAGAGGAUGAUCAGCCACACUGGAACUGAGACACGGUCCAGACUCCUACGGGAGGCAGCAGUGGGGAAUAUUGGACAAUGGGCGCAAGCCUGAUCCAGCCAUACCGCGUGAGUGAAGAAGGCCUUCGGGUUGUAAAGCCCUCUUGUUGGGAAAGAAAAGCAGCAGGUUAAUACCGCGCUGUACUGACGGUACCCAAAGAAUAAGCACCGGCUAACUUCGUG